UUUUCGUGUCCCCAAGCAAAAAGACGAAAACACCCUUGCCCUAAACGACCCUGACCCUUCCUCCCUUCUCUCUCUCCUUACCCUAAACGACCCUAACCCUUCCCCCCGUUUUCUCUCUCCUUCGGUCUUCUUCAACUUCUUCGAUCGUCUUCCUCAAACCCUCUUUCACCAAAUUCGAAUCGCUGAUUUUCUAACAAAUUAUAAUGUCUCAAACCAGAUUGUUUCGAUUCUUCUACAAAGCUACCACUCCAUCGUCCUUGCGUCCUUUCUCUCGCCUCGCAAAAUCGGACCAGCAACCAUAGUGUGCUGGAUGUUCAGAGCAGCUACUGAGAAGCAGCAACAAUUUCCUAGUAGAUCCAAAAGACAUUGAUUUUGAUUCAAAACUCUCUCUCUCUUCUGCAUUGUAUUGUACAAUGUUGUAUUGGAAAAUGCCUGUAGUGAGCAAGGUGCUAGGAUGUCUGCUAUGGACACCUCAAGCAGAAAUGCCGGAGAAGUGCUUGAUCGUCUCACACUUAUAACAGGUUCAAUUUCUCUCAUUGCAUAAAAAUUCCGAGUGUUGUUUGUGGACUUGGGAAAUUGAAAAAGCAAUGUUGAUGAUGGGGAGUGUAGGGUGAAGUUAAAAGAGUUGUUAGAUUUGGAUUUGAUUGAUUGUCAUCAUAAUGUUUGGAACUCGAAAUGUGUUGAAAUUUUGUAUAAUUAAAAUCGAAGUUUGAAAGUUUCAGUUCGUAUUCGAUGAAUUAAAAUUAGAUUAAGAUCAAUUAAUGCAAUGCAUUAAAAUGUUAAAACAAUGUUGAAUCGAGUCAUAUACAAAGUCUGAUGUAAUGCAGACAUGCAGUUAUGUUAAUUUUGAAGUUCUAGCUGCUGAUUAUUUAUCAAGUGGAGUAGAAUUUAUGAUCAUGGAAAUUUGGUAAUGCAUUGUUGUAGACUAAAGAAAAUCGAAAUGUGUUGAAAAUUUGUAUAAAAUCAGAAAUCGAAAGUUUCAGUUCGUAUUCGAUGCAUAAAAAAUCAGAUUAAAAUCAAUUCGCAUAUAAUGAAAUGUUGAAUCGAGUUAUUAUAUACGAUGUCUGAUGCAAUACGGACAAUUGCAUAGUCAACUCUUCAUCUGGUUCUGAGGCUUCGUGGUGGAAUUAUUGAGCCUUCUCUGAUGGCCCUGGCUAGGAAAUUCAACCAAGAGAAGAUGAUAUGCCGUAAGUAAGUAUCUCGGAAUUGAUUGAUUGCUUGAUGCUUUUUCGUUUUAGCAAGAUUUCUAUGGUGAUUGGCAUUGAGAUUAUCUAUUGUGUAUAUAGUCCUUUUGCUUGCAAUGAGUAUAGUAAUUGUUGAGCUUUGACUCAGUCAUUUUGGUUGAAUCCCAUGAAGUCAUGAGCAUAUGUACAUUAUGUAUUUGGUUAUCAAUUGUUAUUGUAUGCCUUGGCCUUGAUCUUGCUUCUAAAUUUUGUUUGACUUGGAUUCUUUCAAUUCUUAACUUGACUGAUGUGGUAAUUACUAAUUAAUUAGUGCUUUCAUUACUGACCAAAAUGUCAUAGUUGAAACAUGCGUGUUUUAAUUUAUUUGUUCUGAUAUAGCGUUGUUGGUGUUAGGUGUUGGUGUUAGGUGGUCAUAUGGUUUGUGGUUUAUCAGCUCUGUUUUUGGUUGAAUUUCGGAAAUCAGGUAUGGAACUGAGGAAUUUUAGGUGUUGGUGUUAGGUGGUCAUACUAAAUUGAAUCUUGCUUUUCGAUCUCCUUACCAGACCGCCUAUCAAUCUUGCUCAGAAGCUCAGAAAACAUAACAGCAAUGUGACUAUGUGAGAGGUGUGGCGGUCCAGCACUAGGGUGUAGCCAUUUCCGAUCUGUGCAUGGUGGUUCAUGAUGAUGACUUGGUCAAUAAAGUUAGCUGCCUCCUUAGCAGGGUCAUUCAUGGAGUCAGAUGCCACGUAUCCACGCUUGAUUUCCUUGACAGGAGCAUUCUUUACAUUGAAACCAACAUUGUCACCAGGGAGAGCCUCUAGAAGGGACUCAUGGUGCAUCUCAACUGAUUUUACUUCAGUAGUCAGGAGGAGAGCAUUCCAGAGUUUUGACAGAAAGAAGAUAGACAACAGCGCCAGGCUUCUCGAUCCUUCUCCUCUGCUCUCAACUUCGUAACUUCUUGAUUUAUAGUUUGUUCGGGUUGACCCGUUUUCCGAUUGCAAAUACUUUUAGAUUUUUAGUUUUUGAUGAGAAAAAGAAGGUGUUUGUCGGAUAAAAUGGAGAAAGAUUAAAGAUUUCCUCCACCAUGAACAUCAAGUCAAAAUGAUUUCCUCCACCAUGAACAUGAAGUGGGCGCAUCUGAAUUAUGAACAUUGACAACGUCCAUGUUCAACGUGCGUUUGGACAUGAUACUAGAUUAAUAUAUUCAUUUGUUCAUAAAUAUAUUCAUCAUUCAACAUAAUAUUAGAUUAAUAUAUUUAUUUGUUCAUAAAUGUAUAUGUUCCUACAUAUUAUUGGUAAUAUAACUGAAUUGGAAGUUAAUUUGUUUUCCCUGUAUUUGUUUUUUUACAGAUUUCUAUAUGGAACAGAGUACAAUUGCUAGACAAGCAGUUUUUUUUUUGAGUUAUAGUUUGCUACAGAAAUCGAAUUGUUUAUUGUUCAAUAUUUGUUCUUAAACGUUUGAACAAUACAUGGAGUUUUUUUAUUCUCGCUGAAAUUUCAUACAAUCAGUUUAUUUUGAUUUGGUA